AGUGAACGCUGGCGGUAGGCCUAACACAUGCAAGUCGAACGGCAGCACAGUAAGAGCUUGCUCUUACGGGUGGCGAGUGGCGGACGGGUGAGGAAUACAUCGGAAUCUACUUUUUCGUGGGGGGUAACGUAGGGAAACUUACGCUAAUACCGCAUACGACCUACGGGUGAAAGCAGGGGAUCUUCGGACCUUGCGCGAUUGAAUGAGCCGAUGUCGGAUUAGCUAGAUGGCGGGGUAAAGGCCCACCAAGGCGACGAUCCGUAGCUGGUCUGAGAGGAUGAUCAGCCACACUGGAACUGAGACACGGUCCAGACUCCUACGGGAGGCAGCAGUGGGGAAUAUUGGACAAUGGGCGCAAGCCUGAUCCAGCCAUACCGCGUGGGUGAAGAAGGCCUUCGGGUUGUAAAGCCCUUUUGUUGGGAAAGAAAAGCAGCAGGUUAAUACCCCGCUGUUCUGACGGUACCCAAAGAAUAAGCACCGGCUAACUUCGUG
rnacentral:rRNA from 1 species